GUUAGUCGACGUGUUAAUUUCCGUAACAGCUGCGAAAUUCCUCUUCCUCUCGGCGGAGAAGGGCACGGGCUUCAUGCCGGAGUGGAGGAUUUCAGGACCAAGGUGUGGAGCAUGACGGGCGACCCUGUUGCCUCCCCAAGCACUGGAAGCGCCACACGGCCAUCGCCAUGUUCGGUCAAGCCGUGCACUGAGGAAUUUUCAAUGGAGUCCAUGAUAAUUUGAGCUGUAGCUUUCUUGCCCAAAAUUGGAGGAAUGAUCUAAUCCGCCUGCACAUGUUAUGUUCCUGAACAUACAGCUGGUUAAUUAUCUGUUGUCGGUGCGAAAGCAGGCUUGGCCAAGUAAGGAGUAAACACUGUCUCGAUGAUGAUUCUCACUAAGUUAACAAACAACUGCAGUAAUGUCCAUUUCAUGGUAAUUCUCUCUCACUCUCACUCUCACUCUCACUCUCUCUCAAGAUUUCAAGGUACUGUUAUGGCCACUGUUUGUCCCAUCGCCAAGGACAAUCAUCAUAGGGUGCAGAACAAGCCUCUAACCUAAAGAUCCCAUGCCAAAUGAAACACCUCCUUCUCCUUAUCAAACAUAAACAUAAUUGUUUUAUCUAUACUGUUUUUCUAGUUAAAAGAUGUUUUUUGUUA